CAAUAGCGUAUAUUAAAGUUGUUGCGGUUAAAAAGCUCGUAGUUGGAUUUCUGUUGAGGAAGGCCGGUCCGCACUAUGUGCGUGUAUCUGGUUCUGCCUCGGCAUCCUCUCGAAUGCCGGACUGCGCUUAAUUGCGUGGGUCGGACUCGGGACUUUUACUUUGAGGAAAUUAGAGUGUUCACGGCAGGCAAGCGCCAUGAAUAUAUUAGCAUGGAAUAAUGAUAUAGGAUCUUGGUCCUAUUUUGUUGGUUUCUAGGGCUAAGAUAAUGAUUAAUAGGGACAAUUGGGGGCAUUCGUAUUAACGCGUCAGAGGUGGAAUUCUUGGAUUGCGUUACGACGAACUACUGCGAAAGCAUUUGCCAAGGAUGUUUUCAUUGA
rnacentral:rRNA from 1 species